rnacentral:rRNA from 1 species
UACGUAGGGGGCAAGCGUUGUCCGGAAUCAUUGGGCGUAAAGCGCGCGUAGGCGGUCCGGUAAGUCUGCUGUGAAAGUCGGGGGCUCAACCCUCGGAUGCCGGUGGAUACUGUCGGGCUUGAGUGCGGAAGAGGCGAGUGGAAUUCCUGGUGUAGCGGUGAAAUGCGCAGAUAUCAGGAGGAACACCAAUUGCGAAGGCAGCUCGCUGGGACGUUACUGACGCUGAUGCGCGAAAGCGUGGGGAGCAAACAGG